rnacentral:rRNA from 1 species
CGCAUUAAGCAUCCCGCCUGGGAAGUACGGCCGCAAGGCUAAAACUCAAAGGAAUUGACGGGUCCCCGCACAAGCGGCGGAGCAUGCGGCUUAAUUCGAUGCAACCCGAAGAACCUUACCUGGGUUUGACAUCACGGGAAAAGCUGUAGAAAUACAGUGUCCAUUAGGGCUCGUGACAGGUGGUGCAUGGCUGUCGUCAGCUCGUGUCGUGAGAUGUUGGGUUAAGUCCCGCAACGAGCGCAACCCUUAUCCUAUGUUGCCAGCGGUUCGGCCGGGGACUCAUAGGAGACUGCCGGGGAUAACUCGGAGGAAGGUGAGGACGACGUCAAGUCAUCAUGCCCCUUAUAUCCAGGGCUGCACGCAUGCUACAAUGGCCGGUACAACGGGCAGCGAUCUCGCGAGAGUGAGCGAAUCCUUUAAAGCCGGCCCCAGUUCGGAUUGAAGUCUGCAACUCGACUUCAUGAAGCCGGAGUCGCUAGUAAUCGCGGAUCAGCAAAGCCGCGGUGAAUACGUUCUCGGGGAUUGUACACACCGCCCGUCAAGUCACGGAAGUCGGCAACACCCAAAGUCAGUGGCCUAACCCUUUUUGGGAGGGAGCUGCCUAAGGUGGGGUCGGUAACUGGGACUAAGUCGUAACAAGGUAACCGUA